rnacentral:rRNA from 1 species
GAUGAACGCUGGCGGCGUGCCUAAUACAUGCAAGUCGAGCGGAGAAUUUAGCAAUAGAUUCUUAGCGGCGAACGGGUGAGUAACGCGUUGGUGACCUGCCUCGAAGUUUGGGAUAACAGUUCGAAAGGACUGCUAAUACCGGAUGUGAUCGCGGAGAUUAGAGGCUCUGUGAUUAAAGGAGAAAUUCGCUUCGAGAGGGGCCGUGCGUCCCAUCAGCUAGUUGGUAAGGUAAAGGCUUACCAAGGCGAUGACGGGUAGGGGACCGUGAGAGGGUGGCCCCCCACCAAUAGGAACGUAG